rnacentral:rRNA from 1 species
AUACACAUCUACGAGCCUACGUGACGCAGAGGAAUCGCGCAUAGUGGCGAACGGGUGAGUAAUGUAUCGGAACGUGCCCAGUAGCGGGGGAUAACUCCGCGAAAGCGUAGCUAAUACCUCAUACUAUUUGAACUGCCGCUAUCGGCUUAGCUAGUUGGGGGGGUAACGGCUCCCCAAGGCGACGAUCCGUAGCUGUUUUGAGAGGACGACCAGCCACACGGGGACUGAGAACAGGAUCAGACUCCGAAGGGAGGCAGCAGUGGGGAAGUUUGGAAAAUGGGGGAAACUCUGAUCCAGACAUCCCGCGUGUGCGAUGAAGGCCUUCGGGUUGGAAAGCACUUUUGGCAGGAAAGCGGUACCGGCAGAAUAAGCACCGGCUAAAUACGUGACAGCAGCAGAGGUAAUAC